AGAGUUUGAUCCUGGCUCAGAUUGAAUGCUGACGGCGUGGAUGAGGCAUGCAAGUCGAACGAAAUGUGCUCUUGAGUACAUUUAGUGGCGGAAGGGUUAGUAAUACAUGGGUAAUCUACCUUUAACUCUGGGAUAACGGCUGGAAACGGACGCUAAUACCAGAUGUGGUACUAGAAAGGAUCUUUUUAGUAUUAAAGUGGGGGAUCGGGAGACCGACCUUAUGGUUGAAGAGGGGCCCAUGCGAUAUCAGCUUGUUGGUGAGGUAAAAGCUCACCAAGGCUAAGACGUCUAGGCGGAUUGAGAGAUUGACCGCCAACACUGGGACUGAGACACUGCCCAGACUCCUACGGGAGGCUGCAGUCGAGAAUCUUUCGCAAUGGGCGAAAGCCUGACGAAGCGACGCCGUGUGAAUGAAGAAGGCCUUCGGGUCGUAAAGUUCUUUCGCAAGGGAACAAGAGAAGGUAGCUAAUAUCUAUUUGAUUUGAGCGUACCUUGUAAAGAAGCACCGGCUAACUCCGUGCCAGCAGCUGCGGUAAUACGGAGGGUGCAAGCAUUAAUCGGAUUUAUUGGGCGUAAAGGGGGCGCAGGCGGGAGCAUAAGUCAGACGUGAAAUCCCAGGGCUCAACCCUGGAACUGCGUUUGAAACUAUGUUUCUUGAGGCAGGGCGGAGAAAACGGAAUUCCACAUGUAGCGGUGAAAUGCGUAGAUAUGUGGAAGAACACCGGUGGCGAAGGCGGUUUUCUAGCUCUGACCUGACGCUGAGGCCCGAAAGCUAGGGGAGCGAACAGGAUUAGAUACCCUGGUAGUCCUAGCCGUAAACGAUGCAUACUUGGUGUAGCUGGACUCAACCCCAGCUGUGCCGUAGCUAACGUGUUAAGUAUGCCGCCUGGGGAGUACGCUCGCAAGGGUAAAACUCAAAGGAAUUGACGGG
rnacentral:rRNA from 1 species